ACAAAUUGAUAUUAUGAAGAAUGAGAUAAACCGCCACACUAAGUAUGGUCAUCAGAGAACAAAGCAAAGCUGAGGACUGAAGUGCCUGGGGUACUCAUUGGAAUAAGGAGAACUCAAGUCUAGUUCAGUGUCUUGAGGAUGAGGAGUGUGGGAGUCUAAAGCUGAAGCAGAUGAUGUCACUGCUGGAGCAUGAACUAGACCAAAGAAAUCAGAAGGAGAACUCAAGUCUAGUUCAGUGUCUUGAGGAUGAGGAGUGUGGGAGUCUAAAGUUGAAGGAGAUGAUGUCAUUGCUGGAGCAUGAACUAGACCAAAGAAAUCAGUUACUGUCAGAGCAUCAUACCUUCAGCGAGAAGAAGGAUGUGAACUAUUGGACUGAUGAUGAAGUAUAUGAAGGUGGAUGAGGAAACACAACUGCAUCACAGAAUGAAUGAGUUACUGUCAGAACAUAAUACCUUCAGCAAGAAGAAGGAUGUGAAUUAUUGGACUGAUGAUGAAGUAUAUGAAGGUGGAUGAGGAGACACAACUGCAUCACAGAAUGAAUGAGGUUGAUGUACAAAUUGAUAUUAUGAAGAAUGAGAUAAACCGCCACACUAAGUAUGGUCAUCAGGGAACCAAGCAAAGCUGAGGACUGAAGUGCCUGGGGUACUCAUUGGAAUGUAUGUACUCUCCAACAAAACAAUGUUGUUAUACCUUGGUAACAAACUGUGAAGUUUGAUUGGUCGCGAACCAAUCACGUGCU